rnacentral:lncRNA from 1 species
GGCGUCGUCGGUGCCUUUUUCAAUUUUGGUGCCUUUCCUCUAUUUAUUAAUUUAUGGGCAUGUUUCAUCGUGUGUUGUUUUGUUUCUUCAUGUCUGGAUCAGUGUCUUCAAUAUUAGGAAGCAAGUUUAAAAGGUAAAGCUUUAAAGUAAAUUGCUUAACUAAAUAAUUGAAGAUAAAUUAUGGGAACAUUUUUGAUGUUUUCAGCUGGCAGCUUUGUAGUGAAACUGAAAAUUUUGACUAUCACUAUGGAAUAUGAAUGGUACAAUUUACAAUUUUGAUAUAUUUUGCCUGCCAGAAAAUCCUUGAAAUAGCGCCAGACAUCGGACAUUUGUCCAGCUAAAAAGUCAAAAUUUUAGUCUGGCAAAACCACUGAUUUAUACGAUUUUCAAAUUCAAUACAUAUUAAAUAUAAUUUACAUACUCAACACGCUAUAUUUAUACUGUCUUGGUUCUUUGUUGCUUUUAGUUUGACCACAGUGGUCUGAUUGAUAUAUUUUAAAAAGAAAUGAUCACUGUUUUACUAUAAUAACCUUAGUUGAGACUUGAUUUUCUAAAAUAUAUAUCAACCUGUUGCUUUUGGUAUGCUAAAGUCAGGUGACCAUUUAUAAAAUAUAACAUAUUAUUUAAGAAGUACAUUCUAUAAAGUAUUUUGAGUUGUGUAGUGAAAUGGUGACAUUCAGCAGUGUCGUCUUCACUCGCAAAACUCCCAAAAAUUCCCAUGACUUCCAGAGCUGUCACACUUCACAAUCAAUGCUAUACUAUACAGUUUACCUGUUCCACAAUCUACAAGAAAAGAUAAAUAAAUUCCAUGGAUGGUAAAUUCCAUGUGUAGGACCCCAAGACAAGACAUGCAUUGUCGACAACCAAUAUGUAGGCCACUGCCAAAUACGCCCUUUGGCAAGGCCUAUUAGACGGUGACCACUCUUGUUAGGUUUACCAAAAAUGUCACUUUUCCGCUUCCUCCAGAAAAAAUGACACACACUCCCCCCUGCGUAUAUGUUUUGAUUUAGCUGCACUUUUUAUUCUAUCAUUUUUUUCUUAACUUACUAGAAAAUCUGCCAGGGUUUGCGGCCUCGCUCAACUUAAUUGGUGGCCAUUUUGAAUGUCGCUGUUGCUAUGGCAACCGUUAAUUAGUGUUGUCGGCUCAAUUAGUUCCAAUACAAUUAACAGGCUUGAAGAAUUAUUCAAAAUGAUAUAUAGCUUUUGUUUGUAGCAUAUAUAUUAAGGAAGUUAUGGCUAAUUAACUGAAACCACUCUGGUCUAUUUACUAUAGUAAAAACAGGUCCCAAAAAAGCCGAAUUUUCAAACAUUCAAAUCCUUGCCAUUUCUUUAAUAUAUAUCGUAGAGCAUCCAUUCAAACAUUUUUGGAAUGUUUGUUUAGAGAUCUUUCCAGGGGUUUAAUUUGUUUCCACAUGUGAGGUAUUCUAAAAAUUUUGUCUCGUACCUACACUGAUGUGAAUGGGAACUGAAGGUAAAAAAAAAAGUUAAAAAAACUUUGAUGGGAUUCGAUCCAAAGCUUUUGACCUUGUGGACAGAUGCCGCAAACACUAAAAACAGCUUGUUUAUAUCUUACUAUAUGUAAAUAGCAUAUCAAAUGAAUAUCCACUUUCUAUUUUUAAUGAGAUAAGAUAUAUAAAUUGUUGACUAGUUAAGUUCGGUGAGACUAUGAAGCAAUUAUACUUUCCCAUGUAACUUGUGAAAUAUAGCUUCCAAGAUCUCUUCGAAUUAGUUUUAGAAUGAUUUAAAUACUACAUAAUGAGGCUUAUGGCAGUCAUAUUUGAUGGCCCUCAUUAGGCAUUAGCUAUUCACUAGCAAAUUUAGAAAGAAAGAGAGACUUCCCAGAAAGAAGAUAUUUCCUUUCCCACCAGUAAAAGUUCUUUAAACAUGUACUCAACACUAGAGUAGAAUUAUGUGAGGCCAUCUAAUAUGGUUGCCAUUUGCUUCAUUAAGUGCUAUCCAGUCCUUAUUUCAAAUCAGCACUGGGCAAAACUUUCUGGCUGACAUUAGUUUGUUUGACAUUAGUUUCAAAAGCCCCCCACCCCAUCCUGUAGGUUUUAAUAGCAUCCUCCAGGGGCAAGGCUUGUGCAAAGCGAAAUUUUUGUAUGUUUUGCACGGUUUCGCAGUUUUGUCUUAUCUAUAUUUGAUUUUUUGUAUGAACAGGAAUAUAAAGUGAAAAUUUUAACAUACAAUUAAAAGGUUUGUACCCAUGCACAUCCUCGCAACUUCAUUAUAUAGUACAGAAUGUGCAUAAUCAUAGUGCAUUUUUUAUAUUUACUGCCCAAGGUAUAAAGGUAUCCUUUCAGAUAUAUUCUAUUUAUCAGGUUGUGCUAGUGAUUUGCGCAUACAACAGGCAUAUUAGAAUGUCAACUACAUGACAAAUGUGUGUCACUCAGUCAAUAUUGUGUAAUAUCCUAGUAUUUAUUAUUAUAAUAUAGCAUUUGUUAAUUUCUGAAUGCUGAUUAGUUCAGGUGGCUCAAUACAGUUAGAUAUAAUUUUUUAAAGAGAGGUUUCUUGUUAGAAGACAAAAAUUAUACCCCAUAUAUUGAGCAAGCUUCUAAGAGUUGAAAAUUGUUCAUAGAAAUGACAUCAUCACCGUUGCUAUGGUCACAAUGACGUUUCAAUAUGGUCUACAUUUUACCUUUUAACAAAUUUUACUCGAAAAAAGGCCCGUUACCCCCAUUUUUUAUUUCGUAAAACGUUUUCAUUCAGAAAAAUGCUUGAUGUGAACAAGUUUAAAAAAAUUCUGUAGAUCAAAAAAUUAUUUAUUACGAAAAAUGACGUUUCUUAAUUUUUUAAAACUACUGAUUUACAGAAUUUUUUUUUAACUUGUUCAUAUCAUUCAUUUUUCCAAGUGAAAGCGUGUCACGAAAUAAAAAAAGGGGGUAACCGGUCCUUUUUUCUAUUAAAAAGUGUUAAAAGGUAAAAUGUCAGCCAUAUUGAAAUUCAUUGUUACCAUAGCAACGGUAAUAACGUCAUUUUUGUGAACAAUUUUCAACUUAUAGAAGCUUGCUCAAUAUAUGUGGUACAAUUUUUGUCUUGUAACAAGAAACCUCUCUUCAAAAAGUUAAUUAAAUCUAAAUCACGAUUUUGUCAUAUUUCAAAAACUAUAUUGAGCCACCUUGAGAGCCGUGUUGAUAUAACUCGAUGUCAACCAUAGAUAUCUUAUACACACUAGAUAGUGCAUCUAAUUAUUCUGCAAUUCAAAAGUUGAAGCCGUGAUUGCAGUCUCGGGUCGUUCCAAUGAAAUGUGAAGGUUCGUAUAUUUUCUAUUUUUUAAACAGGGAACUUAAAUAUUAAGUUAACCCUAUUCCAAAUACGUUUUUGAACUAUUGAAACAAUGAAAGUUAUUGUUGUUUUUAAGUGUUUAUUAGCAAGUGGGAACGACCAACAUGGCCGCCAUCUAUUCAAAUGGGGGUAACCGCUGGAAUAUUCUUGGCUUCAAUUUUACUAAAAGAGAUGCGCUAUCUAGUGUAUAUAAGAGAUCUAUGAUGUCAACACGGAAACAUUGGGAAAUUUCUUUCUUUAUAUAAGACAUAUAUAAUUCCUUCUCUAUAUAAAACAUUUUUUCCGUGUUGAUAUUUAAUAAAUAUAAAACAUUUUCCGUUGUUUAUAUCAACACGAGUGCGAUAUAUACAACUGUACUGUAUAUCAAUACGGAAAUGUCUAUAUUUAUAACAUAGCACUCAGUCAAACAGUUAAAAAUACAAAAAAUGUCCUUGCUUACAAGCGGCGGGAAAUUUCCUGUGUUGACAUUGAGUUGUGUCAACACGGUAUAUUAUAAAUAGUUUUAUAAUAUAGCAUUUGUAAAUUCUGAACGCUGAUUGAUUAAGCGCUGUGUUGAUAUAACUCGAUGUCAAAACGGAACGUCGGAAAGUUUCUUUGUGCUAUGUUAUAAUUAUCAAAUUUAAAACAUUUUAUCCGUGUUGAUAUUUAAGAAAUAGAAAAAUUUUCCGUGUUUCUAUAGAGUUAUAGAGACACGCAUGCUAGUUUGGGAGAACGAGAAAUAAUCAGUGGGAUAUUAUUUCGAGUUUUCCCAAACUAGCACAAGUGUUUCUAUAACUGUUUAGAAACACAGGAAAACAUGUUUUCUAUUUCCUUUAUUAAAUAACCUUAUGAUAAUAACUCAAAAUCAAUAUUUUUAACGCGAUUAAAUAGUAUAUUCUUAUUACACAAUAACAAGAAAAUGUUGCCUAGCAACAAUACCGACAUCAAUUUUCAGUUUUGCCAACUGCAAAAUUAUGGAAAAAACACGCUGAAAAAUUUAAAGCGAAAAAACGUUUGGUAAGUGUUUUCCACUGCUUGUUUGACAAAAUUUCAUAUUGACGAAGAUUUUUAAUCGACAUUUCAGACGAAAACGUUUGUUUUAGUGUGUUUUUUGAUGUUCAUGUUCUCAACCAAUCAGCGCAGGCGUUAUUACAAGGUUAUUUUAUAAAGAGUUAUAUCAACACUCGUGGAAGUCGGGAAAACUCGAAAUUGUGUGAAAACACUCCGCCCUUCGGGCGUCGUGCUUCCACACAAUUUCUCGUUUUCCCAAUUUUCACUCGUGUUCAUAUAACUGUAUGUCAACACGGAAAAAGUUUUAUAUUUGUUAAAUAUAAUUACCUAAGUUGAGAGGUGAAUAUUUUUCUUUUCUUGUGAAGGACUCUGUGUUUUUUGCUUAAGUAAUAAGGGCUGAAUUACAUUAGUAAAUCAAAAUUAAUUUCUCACAGUUCGGUAGUAAAUGAAUAAAUUUAAUUACUUCUGUAUUGAGCAUGUUCUACCGUAGUCUAUCAUUUCUGUUGUUCAGCAAAUGACCAUUACGUACUGACACUUUGGUAGAAAUCUUCCACACAUGAAUUUGAACCCCCAAAUUGUAACUCCUGGUUGUCAAAUAUAAGAACGGGUGGAAGGAGUUAAAAUAGGUAUACAUUUUAAAGUAUACUUAUUAAUUAAUGUUUUAUUAAUAUUUGAACUCAACAAAUAGCACAAUUUUAAACAAUUUAAUCCAAUGAAAGAUUACAUGUCACGCAACGUACUGAAGUAGCAAAGUAGAAAUCCAACAUAGGCAACUUGUAAAAAUCAACAUGAUGCGGGAGUUGUAGCCAAUACUGUAAGGCGUAGAUUGUAGACUCAAGCACAAGAUUUUUGAACUGAAACACAGCAGCAAAUAAAACUAAACAACAGCAACAAAUAAAAGUUAUUUAGAUGCAUGUCACACACUUUGGAGUUACACCAAAUCUUUUUGUUCAUAUUUAUGGAAAUUAAUGUGUGCACUUUCACAAUGAGUGAACACAUUGUUUUUCUGCACAGGGUGUCCCAAUAGAACCAAAACUACAGUAUUGAAGUAUCCUGAGAACUUGCUUCCAUAGCACAAAGCUGAACAUAUAGAUGUGUAAAGUAUUGACAGGUAGUUAAAUACUGAUUUAUUAAAAACAAGCCUGGAAAUAAGUUGCAGGUCACGGUCAUUGACCUGCACUAUUACAGUGUGCUAUUUGUUGCGUUUUUCACAGGAACAAAUUUAAGUACGAAGAGUUCAAGAAAUUGGUAAAUUCCCCUCUACCGUUAUACAGAUUGAUUGAAUAAAUCUACCAAACGUUGUCGUGACUUGCACAGGAAGUCGUGAUAUAUAUAGGUCGAGUGCAUAAGUUAAUGUGUAAAAAUGGACCAAACAUUGUGAGGACUUAAUUGUCUCUAAGUCCUCAUAAUGUAGUUCUACAGGUCGAGUGUAUAAGUUAAUGUGUAAAAAUGUACCAAACAUUGUGGGGACUUAAUUGUCUCUAAGUCCUCAUAAUGUAGUUAUACAGGCCGAGUGUAUAAGUUACUGUGUAAAAAUGUACCAAACAUUUUGGGGACUUAAUUGUCUGUAAGUCCUCAUAAUGUAGUUAUAUAGGUCGAGUGCAUAAGUUAAUGUGUAAAAAUGGAACAAACAUUGUGGGGACUUAAUUGUCUCUAAGUCCUCAUAAUGUAGUUAUACAGGUCGAGUGUAUAAGUUACUGUGUAAAAAUGUACCAAACAUUGUGGGGACUCAAUUGUCUCUAAGUCCUCAUAAUGUAGUUAUACAGGUGGAGUGUAUAAGUUAAUGUGUAAAAAUCUACAACAAACAUUGGGGGAAUUAAUUGUCUCUAAGUCCUCAUAAUGUAGUUAUACAGGUGGAGUGUAUAAGUUAAUGUGUAAAAAUCUACAACAAACACUGUGGGGACUUAAUUGUCUCUAAGUCCUCAUAAUGUAGUUAUAUAGGUCGAGUGUAUAUAAGUUAAUGUGUAAAAAUCUACAACAAACAUUGUGGGGACUCAAUUGUCUCUAAGUCCUCAUAAUGUAGUUAUACAGGUCGAGUGCAUAAGUUACUGUGUAAAAAUCUACAACAAACACUGUGGGGACUUGUACAGGAAUUUUACAUUGUGAGUUAAUAUAGAUUAUCAGCAGUUUUAGGCUUAAAUUGAAAUUUGGUGCAUUUUGCGCAUUACUUACUGCAUCCCGCUCCCCCCUGGUUCACGGGGUAACAGUCUGCUUUCAAUCGACGCUAAUGCCUUACAGCGCUACCUGCAGAAAUUGGUCGGCAGUUUUUUAUUGGUUCGUUUUUAAAUUAUACUCGCGUAAAUUUUCCUAAUUUUAAAACGGCUUGUAUUUUUAGGUGUUGUUGGCAAGACAUCGCCACACGAAACAGCAUCUUUGAUAGUUAACGUAUCGUGUAUUGUUUUGUUUGACCUUGUCUAGCAUUUCUAUUUAUUGCUUAACGAGAAACGACCAUGCACCUUAUUUACAUAAUGGGUAAUGUCUAUUUAUAAAACAACGCACUUGAUUGGAAAAUAAAAUUAACAACCAUGCGGCAACGUCACUGUACAGGAAACGCAUUCAUUGAUCACAGAUUGUUAUCCUCCCACCACUGGGGGAAGGACAGUCUUUAUGCAGACUGCAAAUUGCUGUUUGCGAGGAAGAACUUCUCAAAUACUACCAAAACCUUUUGAUACUACACUCACUUAUUACCACCCUGCAAUUUUGUAGAUAUGCUGUGUGUUAAAUCUUCCUUCUCCCCAUCUGUGGUAAAGCAGCACGUUGGAUAUGAUGCAGAACAGCAUACGUGGCAGGAUGACUUAUGAUCAGAACGGUCGAAGAAAGGUAUUGAAACCAAUUCUUUCUAUAUGAUCAACUUUAGGAGUGGUGGUGCAUUUCCCCGACGUGUGAUAAAUUGUAUUAGAAGGUGGUUGGUAAUCGCGAGAAUGGUGGUAUAAAUUUGUUCUAAAAAGGAAUGAAGGUUAAAUUCUUAGAACUUAGCAAUAAGGAAUGAGUAAAUUUAAG